GGAGGGGGCAAGCGUUAUUCGGAAUUAUUGGGCGUAAAGGGCGCGUAGGUGGCCUGGUAAGUCAAAGGUGAAAUCCCUCGGCUCAACCGAGGAAUUGCCCUUGAAACUGCCGGGCUUGAGGCCGGGAGGGGGUAGCGGAAUUCCCAGUGUAGCGGUGAAAUGCGUAGAUACUGGGAGGAACACCGGUGGCGAAGGCGGCUACCUGGACCGGUUCUGACACUGAUGCGCGAAAGCGUGGGUAGCAAACAGGAUUAGAUACCCUGGUAGUCCACGCUGUAAACGAUGGGUGCUCGGUGUCGCGGGUAUCGACCCCUGCGGUGCCUUAGCUAACGCGUUAAGCACCCCGCCUGGGGAGUACGGUCGCAAGGCUG
rnacentral:rRNA from 1 species